GAGGAGAACCUAACAAUGGUGAAUGAAAGAAGUAACAAUGGUGAAUGAAAGAAGUUCGGUAGGCAGCAAUUCGAUGCAAAGUGCGGACGAAGUAACAAAAUCUCCUUCUCAUUCUUGAUUAACAAGGUGUACGUUACAAGGCCUUGGGGGCCGAGGAAAAAGAACAUCACUACAAGACUCAAAAGGAACACAUUGGGGACCACUUCAAGCUCUCGACUUCUCCCUCUGGCUCCAUCCUUUUCAGCAGUAUUUCCAGCGCAUGUGAUAAACCCCUUGGCUCUUGCCCCCCGCCUC
rnacentral:lncRNA from 1 species